rnacentral:lncRNA from 1 species
UAAAGUUAUUUAAGGAAACUUCCCUGACUGUUUCCCUUUGUUUGCAGGCCGUGUGAAAAACUCAAUCCAUCAACCACAGAAGCUGACGAUGAUGACACAGACAUUGAUUCAGAUGAUUCUCAGAGUUUGUUACAACCAGAAAUGUACCAUAUCACUGUUCCAUGUAGCGUUAUUAUGGACUCUGGACCCUCAGCAGAAUCAGAGUACAGUCUAGAACCUUCUUCACCUGCCGGUGCAGCCCCAGCAGCUAUGUACACCUCACCUGGGUCUAUCGCUGCCCCUGAACAAGAGGAACCACCAUCCACAAGCAGAACUUCUCCACCGCCCAGAGCUCAAACCACUGACCCAGUCUUACCAGGUACCACUGACCCUACGCCUAACCAGGACCGUGCCAGCGAUGGUCCCACAGGUCAGCCCGGAUCACCCCCGAAUUCAAGCCCCACUGUUGACGUUCCAGCAGUGUCAAUAUCUGCAGUACAAACACUCUCACUCUUAGUACAAGCAUCUCACUUAAAAUCUGAGCAGCUACCAGAACCCUCUCCUCCGGCAGGGGUUUCUUCAUCACCAGGUCGUCCCGCUGCAGCAGAUGCUUCUGAUGUGGGUACCACAGAGAAAUCCCAGUCCAGUGCUGCCAUAUUCUGGACCAGAUGUAAUGAGGCUGGGUGGACUAAAGAAGUCUUCUCAGAGCUCGUGUCUCAGCUGAGCAGCCUAGGAGAAAGAGUGCAGUCACAGGAAGCCAGCCACCAAGGUGAGAACAGCCUUGAUUCAGGCCAGUUUUGUGGAAUAUUUCAGG